rnacentral:lncRNA from 1 species
UGAAAAUGUUUCUUUUAACAAGAAACUAGGUUAAUAUGAGAUACAUGAGUCUUUUCCAAAUUUUAUAUGUUGGUAUGAUUUACCAGUGUGCAUUAGAAAAAUGGAACAAAUACUUGGCUUUCCUUCAGUAGUUUACCCUCACAGGGGCUUUCUACAAGGCAGGGUGUAUAUCAUCACCAACAAGAUUUCUUUAGGUGGUUGCAGAGUUUAAAGAUGUUUGCCGGGACCCUGAUCCUGGUCAGUAGCUCCUACUAAAAAGAAAAAGAAAAAUGUUGUGGAAAAUUCCAAGUAUAUACCAUAAUUGAGGAAAUAGUAGAGUGAAUUCCCAUGCAUCCAUUUCCCACUUCAGUGACAUAAAUUCUUCAAUGUCUGUUUCUAAUAGACAAAAUUUAAUGUAAUCAUACUCAACACAAGUCACAAUGAUUCUCUUCUAUAAUCCUUCUGUGUUUUGUCCCCCCAGCCCCCACCAGCCCCAUGGCCUCAAAAGUCCACAGUUGCACUACGUUCCUAUGGCAGGAAAGAUGAGUUCUGACGAGAGACCACUAACUUAGUAACUGGAAAGUCUUGGUGAUCUUGAUAAUGUGGAUGUUGGAAGUGAAAACUUAGAGUGGAUUUGGGAACAUUUGGGAAGAAAGAAAUUUUAAUUAAUGAGCACUAAUAAUAAUUUUGAGGGAUUUUAUUUUAAAGGAAGAAAGAAGAUGGGACAGUAGCUGGAAAAGAGUCAAGAAAAUACUAUUUAUUUUACUCAUUGAUUGUUUUUUUAUUUCUAAGAACUUUUUUAUUGGUACAUAAUAAUUAUACAGAAUAGUGGGAUUCAUUGUGGCAUAUUCACACAUGCAUAUGACAUAAGUGAGCAGUUUUAUUACCUCCCCUUAACCUCCACUCCUCCCUCUCCCCUCUUGUUCUCCUGUCUAGGCAUUUCUGGGUGAUUCCUUUCUUUUUUGUUCCAGAGCUUCCACAUACGAGAGAAAGCAUCCAAUCCUGGUUUAUUUCUCUUAAUGUGAUACUCAUUCAUUUUCCUGCAGAUGACAUAAUUUCUUCUUCAUGGCUGAACAAAACUGUAUUGUGUAUAUAUACCACAUUUUUACCCAUUCAAUAGACAGAUACCUCGCCUGGUUCCAUAACUUGGCUAUCGCAAAUUGUGCUACCAUAAACAUGGGCAUACAUCUAUCUCUACAGUGUACUGACUUUAAUUCCUUUGAGUAAAUAGCAAGGAGUAGUAGAGCUGGAUCAUUUGGUAGUCGCAGUCUUGAGGAACCUCCAUACUGAGUUCCAUAGUGGUUGUACUAAUUUACAAUCCCACCAACAGUGUAUAAGUGUUCCAUUUCACGACAUCCUUGCUGACAUUACUAUUUGUACUCUUAAUUAUUGCCAUUGUUACUAGAGUGAGACAAAAUCUGUGUAGUUUUGAUUUGCAUUUCCCUGACUGCUAAAGAUAUUGAACACUUUUUCAUAUAAUUGUUGUCUGUUCUUUUAAGAAUUGUGUGUUUAGUUCAUUUACCAAUUUAUUGAUUGGGGUGUUUUUUUUUGGGGGGGGGGGAUGAGUUCUUUAUGUAUUCUGGAUAUUAGUUCUCUAUCAGAAGAGUAGCUAAUAGAUUUUUUUUCCCCAGUCUGUAGGCUCUCUCUCCAUGCUGUUAACUCAGUAAGUCCUAAAUUUUUUGGACUAUGUUUCAACAAAAUUGACGCAGGUGUAAAUUGGCACAUAGUUGGAAAUCG